rnacentral:antisense_RNA from 1 species
AACCUCUUGCAGUUCAAUUUGAGCCUGAAGAAGCAGCUCUACGAACUUAUCGAAGAUCGGCUUCUUCUUGAAUUGCUCUGUGUACCGGCUUUGAGCGACUUUCAGAAAGUCAAUCAUCCGGAACUGGUUCUUUUCCAGCAUAUCAGGU